rnacentral:rRNA from 1 species
UACGUAGGGGGCUAGCGUUGUCCGGAAUCACUGGGCGUAAAGGGCGCGUAGGUGGUGGCUUAAGCGUGCGGUGAAAGCUCGGGGCUCAACUCCGAGUCGGCCGUGCGAACUGGGCUCACUGGAGCAUAGUAGAGGCAGGUGGAAUUCCGGGUGUAGCGGUGGAAUGCGUAGAGAUCCGGAAGAACACCGGUGGCGAAGGCGGCCUGCUGGGCUAUGGCUGACACUGAGGCGCGACAGCGUGGGGAGCAAACAGG